rnacentral:rRNA from 1 species
UACGAAGGGUGCAAGCGUUACUCGGAAUUACUGGGCGUAAAGCGUGCGUAGGUGGUUUGUUAAGUCUGAUGUGAAAGCCCUGGGCUCAACCUGGGAAUUGCAUUGGAUACUGGCAGGCUAGAGUGCGGUAGAGGAUGGCGGAAUUCCCGGUGUAGCAGUGAAAUGCGUAGAGAUCGGGAGGAACAUCUGUGGCGAAGGCGGCCAUCUGGACCAGCACUGACACUGAGGAGCGAAAGCGUGGGUAGCAAACAGG